UACGAAGGGGGCUAGCGUUGUUCGGAUUUACUGGGCGUAAAGCGCACGUAGGCGGAUCUUUAAGUCAGAGGUGAAAUCCCAAGGCUCAACCUUGGAAUUGCCUUUGAUACUGGCUGUCUUGAGUUCGGGAGAGGUGAGUGGAAUGCCGAGUGUAGAGGUGAAAUUCGUAGAUAUUCGGCGGAACACCAGUGGCGAAGGCGACUCACUGGCCCGAUACUGACGCUGAGGCGCGAAAGCGUGGGGAGCAAACAGG
rnacentral:rRNA from 1 species